AAACUAUCGAAGAUUUCAAUUUCCUAAGUUUUUUCUAGGUCACACCCAUUUUUUUCCUGGGGCCAUUAGCUCAGGUGGUUAGAGCGCACCCCUGAUAAGGGUGAGGUCCCUGGUUCAAGUCCAGGAUGGCCCAUAUCUCUAUUGGGGGUAUAGCUCAGUUGGUAGAGCGCCUGCUUUGCAAGCAGGAUGUCAGCGGUUCGAGUCCGCUUACCUCCACUGAAUACCACCUAAUUCAUUUAAGAGGGGAUUUAUUUGGGUAUGCCUUAAAUCUGGGAGAAUCUAGCUUCCUGUUAAUUUAAUUAAUAAGAUGCUGGAUUCACUGAAUUACACAAUUCAAUGAUUCCAGAGAACCUUGACAACUGCAUAGAUUUAAUUUUCAAGACAAUAAGCAUCUUUUAAGAUGCAGAUUUAUUAUUGGUGCUAAUGCAUUAAUAACAAUUCUAUUGAGCUGAUGCUUCAAAUUUUUUGAAGUUAUU
rnacentral:tRNA from 1 species